AAUCGUCAAUGCGACGUCCUCCUACUCCCACCUCAGAGCUGUCACAGAGACUGUCAGUUCCGUCCCUCCCCUUCAGCCCUUUAACGCACGUCUUCCCGACCGCAUAACUUGCUCAGUCCCUGCGGCCAACUGGGGCGGGCCAAUGGCUGUGACGGAUAAGGGGUGUGGGGUGCGGGGACAAUGGGCCAGAGCUUCUCAUGCAGCCUGCACCAGCGCCGGGUCGGAGAGUCAGAGGCCACCCUGAGAUGGACCGAGAUCUUCAGUUGGGGAGGCGCCUCCGGUGAGCUUGCGGCCAGAUGCCCCCUCAGUAGUCCUCCGCAACAGGUGCCGCGCAGCCGAGUGGCGGGCUAGCAUACCGCCUGCCCGCAAUUCGGCCAGGCCUCGAGCCUGCUCCGCCUUCCCGCUGCGGUAGCGCCGCCGGGGAAACGCCGCCACGGGCUGCAUGGGCAGCGCUCGCGCCCCGCCGCUGAGCCGCCGGGGAGCCGUCCAGUCUUCGAAUCCCAGAAACACAAAGAUGGUGCAGACCCAGGCCCUGCUUUGACUGGGAGAAAGAUGCAUUCAGUUGACUAAAACUUGAACCACAGCAUGUUCCGAAGAGAUGAUUGGAAGAUGGAAGUGGAGGGUUAAAUAAUGAAAUGCAGCUAACAUUUCGGAAAGUUUCUAAAAGUUGUACAACAUGCCCUACAGCUACUCUUUAAAUCUCCAAAUCAAAUGAGUUUCAGGUGGAGCCUCUGGGAGGUGAUGAGGUCAUGAGAGUGGAGCCUCAUGAAUGGGAUGAGCACUCCUACAAAAAGGAUUCCAGAGAGCUCGCUUGCUCCUUCCACAGUGUGAGGACACAGAGGGAAGGCUCUGUCUAUGAAUGAGAAAGUGGGUCCCCACCAGACAUUGAAUCUGCCGCAUCUUGAUACUGGACUUCCAGUCUCCAGAACUGUGGGCAAUAAAUGUCUGUUGUUUAUUACCUGUCCAGUAUCUUUGGUAUUUUGCUAUAGCAACCCAAAUGGACUAAGAAAACACCAGAGGCCAUACCUAAUAAAAAUAUUGACAUCACAA
rnacentral:lncRNA from 1 species